UGGGGAAUAUUGGGGCAAUGGGCGCAAGCCUGACCCAGCAACGCCGCGUGAAGGAAGAAGGCUUUCGGGUUGUAAACUUCUUUGACAGAGGACGAAACAAAUGACGGUACUCUGAAAACAAGCCACGGCUAACUACGUGCCAGCAGCCGCGGUAAUACGUAGGUGGCGAGCGUUAUCCGGAUUUACUGGGUGUAAAGGGCGUGUAGGCGGGAUUACAAGUCAGAUGUGAAAACUAUGGGCUCAACCCAUAGCCUGCAUUUGAAACUGUAGUUCUUGAGUGAUGGAGAGGCAGGCGGAAUUCCUCGUGUAGCGGUGAAAUGCGUAGAUAUGAGGAGGAACACCAGUGGCGAAGGCGGCCUGCUGGACAUUAACUGACGCUGAGGCGCGAAAGCGUGGGGAGCAAACAGGAUUAGAUACCCUGGUAGU
rnacentral:rRNA from 1 species